UACGUAGGGGGCAAGCGUUGUCCGGAUUUAUUGGGCGUAAAGAGCGUGUAGGCGGCCAUACAGGUCCGUUGUGAAAACUGGAGGCUUAACCUCCAGACGUCGAUGGAAACCGUAUGGCUAGAGUCCGGAAGAGGAGAGUGGAAUUCCUGGUGUAGCGGUGAAAUGCGCAGAUAUCAGGAAGAACACCAAUGGCGAAGGCAGCUCUCUGGGACGGUACUGACGCUGAGACGCGAAAGCGUGGGGAGCGAACAGG
rnacentral:rRNA from 1 species